GAUGAAGAACGUAGCGAAAUGCGAUAAGUAAUGUGAAUUGCAGAAUUCAGUGAACCAUCGAAUCUUUGAACGCACAUUGCGCCCGGCAGUAAUCUGCCGAGCAUGCCUGUCCGAGCGUCAUUUCUCCCCUCGAGCGCAGCUUUCCCCCCCGGGGGAGGGCCGCGCCCGGUGUUGGGGCGCUACGGAGGAGCCCAGCGCUCCCCCGUAGGCCCCGAAAUGUAGUGGCGGUCCCGCCGCGGCGCCCCCUGCGUAGUAGUUUUACAACUCGCAUCGGGUCCCGGCGGAGGCCAGCCGUCAAACCCCCCAACUUCAAUAGUUUGACCUCGGAUCAGGUAGGGUUACCCGCUGAACUUAAGCAUAUCAAUAAGCGGAGGA
rnacentral:misc_RNA from 1 species